UCAUCUUCGGGGGUAGAGCACUGUUUCGGCUAGGGGGUCAUCCCGACUUACCAACCCGAUGCAAACUACGAAUACCGAAGAAUGUUAUCACGGGAGACACACGGCGGGUGCUAACGUCCGUCGUGAAGAGGGAAACAACCCAGACCGCCAGCUAAGGUCCCAAAGUCACAGUUAAGUGGGAAACGAUGUGGGAAGGCACAGACAGCCAGGAUGUUGGCUUAGAAGCAGCCAUCAUUUAAAGAAAGCGUAAUAGCUCACUGGUCGAGUCGGCCUGCGCGGAAGAUGUAACGGGGCUAAACUGUGCACCGAAGCUGCGGCAGCGACACUAUGUGUUGUUGGGUAGGGGAGCGUUCUGUAAGCCUGCGAAGGUGGCCUGUGAGGGUUGCUGGAGGUAUCAGAAGUGCGAAUGCUGACAUAAGUAACGAUAAUGCGGGUGAAAAGCCCGCACGCCGGAAGACCAAGGGUUCCUGUCCAACGUUAAUCGGGGCAGGGUGAGUCGACCCCUAAGGCGAGGCCGAAAGGCGUAGUCGAUGGGAAACAGGUUAAUAUUCCUGUACUUGGUGUUACUGCGAAGGGGGGACGGAGAAGGCUAUGUUAGCCGGGCGACGGUUGUCCCGGUUUAAGCAUGUAGGCGGAGGUUCCAGGUAAAUCCGGUACCUUUUAACGCUGAGGUGUGAUGACGAGGCACUACGGUGCUGAAGUAACAAAUGCCCUGCUUCCAGGAAAAGCCUCUAAGCAUCAGGUAACAUUAAAUCGUACCCCAAACCGACACAGGUGGUCAGGUAGAGAAUACCAAGGCGCUUGAGAGAACUCGGGUGAAGGAACUAGGCAAAAUGGUGCCG
rnacentral:rRNA from 1 species